ensembl:vault_RNA Vault Vault RNA
GGGCCGGCUUUAGCUCAGCGGUUACUUCGCGACUUCAAUUUAUUGAAAACCCAGCCCCUCCGGGGGUUCGAGACCCGCGGGCGCUGCUCGGCCUUUUG